UUCUGACAGCAGUACCAAAAUCGCUGUGGUGGAGUUCAAACCACCUGCUGCUUGCACACCAUUUCUGUAGCAUCUGCACCUGCAGCCAUGUAAUGCCCCACAGGCCCUCACCCCGCAACCUGUAGCCGUCUGCCUCCAGCUCCAGGUCACACCCGACGCCCUCUCGGUACAGAAGCUCUAUGCUGCGCAGAUUCUCUCUCAGCUCCUCUGCCUGGCUGAGCUUCUUUUCUUCUUCCCCGGCGUUUCCUGGUCCCUCGCAUCUCCGCUGUGCCGCGGCCUUUACCCGGGGCGCCCCCAAAGCAUCGGCCGCAGCCAGCACAUCCUCCAAUGAGGCGGGGCCCAGCACCCCCUCAUAGGCAAAGGUCAGCACGGCCUCCCAGCCCCCCGGGGCCACAUCCAGGCUGAAGCCAAGCCGCGGCGCUCCGCCGCUCAGCAGCCUGUCUCGGAAGAGGCUGCUGACUGCGGCCAAGAUCACCCGGUGCACACCAUACACCCGCCCCCUGACUGUCACCUCCUCGUCUAACAAGAGCCUGUGUUCCCGCAGCCUCUGGGCUUCUGCGAAGAACUGGCUCGGAUGCUCCUCACUACACAGUCCCUCCAGCUUGGCUGUGUCUCCAUCGUCCUCAUCCUCUUCCUCUUCCUCUUCCUCUAGGAACAAAGCGGGGGAAGGAAGGUUCCCUGGGACCAGGGAUCUGGGGCCAUGCUCUUGCAGAGGAAAGGACAGUAAAUCAGGAUCCUCAUCUGGGGAAGAAGGCCAGGAGUUUCUUUCAGCGGGCAAAGGGUGUCCAAAACCGUCCUUCUGGAGGGGAAGAGAGACGGGCUGCAGGUCCGAGGGAUGAUGUGCUGUGUCCAAGAGGCUCAUGGCCUAGGUCUGCUGGAUUGCUGCAGGGAGUUAGGAUGGGCCAAAGGCUGCUAGGGGUGGAUGCCCUCAUCUAUAGAAGGGCUGGCCCAAUCUUGAUAGGCUGACCAAAGAAGCAGACUUAUCAAGGGAAAGAAAUGAUUCAGGUGAGUGGGCUCUUAUGGGGGUGGAAUGGGAAGGUGAUUUUACCAAUACUGCAUUCCCUCCAACUUCUGGAGUUGUCUCUGUUUCCCCAUUUACAGCCCUCAUACCCUGGUAACCAUUCCUUGGGUAAGUCUAAUCCUCAGGCCACACUCCCCAAAAUGGGUUGACUUAGAGAGGCAACUCUUGGUAACUAGGCUAGGGAAAGGGAAGAUAAUGACCAGUUUCUAUACCCUUUUUCCCAGACCGUCUGGGACUACCUGUAGCAAAACAAUGCGGCCAGCAUCUUAAGCCAUCAUCAGUAAGUGGAGGAAAUACAUUUCAGAGACAUACCUCUAGCUGCCCUCUGGUUGUCAUCUGCCUCUAAGGACAGGGACUUUGGAUCCAGCUAUGAGUGGUAUGACAAUUCUACAGUCCCAGGAUAUCUGUGCCACAAUCAACAAUUCCUGGAGGCUCUGUGUGGCUCCACCAUGGUAAGAAAGACCCAUGCCCCACAGAGAACUCUCAAAGAUAGGAAAAAAUCUGCUGUCUGAGCCACCACUCACUUCCAUUAAAGCCUGGGACUUCCCUCCUCCCCCAAAUCCUUCCUGUCACCAUGUUCCUGGUUGCAGAGCUGUCAUGGCAUUUCAGUCAUGUCUGUACAGUCUCAGCCAGAGGACAGCAUGACUUCCACCUCUGCAGAGAAGUCCUGUGCCAAGCCACACUCUUGAGAAGAUGAUCCAGAUAAUUUCCGGGCCAGGACCGGCAAGACGCCAGAACACUUUGGCUGGGUCAUGAGGAUCAUGUUAAGACUGGAGCUCACGAUUUCCAAAGUAGGGUAUGUAGGUUGAUGAGAGACUUUGUUCCAGAGAACGUAGAGGAUACUUCUGAGCAAUGGAGAAGAGAGCUGGAGAAUUAGUGUGCACUGAAAUGACCUCCUCCCUCACUUCUUUGCUCCAUGGAUGUGCUAUGUGCUCAUCAUCUGUGGUGUCAUAUUCUAUCUGCUUUUGCCUUGGAUGACUGCUCAGGCAGACACAAGUAUGAGCUCAGAGCUCUGGGAAGUAGGAAGCGAUUUAGGGAACAAGGCCUGAAUGAAUGAAUUCUCAUUCCUACCCAGGGCUCACAUGGCUCAUCAUCCUGUUCUUGGCCUCAGUCACUAAGAUUAGCACCUUGCCUAUCACAGGCAUCUCAGCCAAUGGCAAAGUAAAGGCUGGUGAGUCUGUUGUGACUGUUAUCUCUCAGAGCCCCCAGUCCUGUUAGGAAUCUCUGAGAUCACAGACCAGCUCUUCCUUUCUCUUCUCCUAGGUGGCACAUAUUUCUUCAUCUCAUAUAGCCUGGGUCGGUCCAGAGCCUGGCAUUUCCAUGGGGAUCAUUUUUGCUUCUGCCAACACUGUAGCUGUGGCUAGGACACUUUGGGAUUUGGGUAAUGCUGAUUCUUUCCCUCUUUGUACUUCUGUCUCAAGUCUGUUGUAUUGGAAGGUCUUACCUUGCACUGUGACUCCAGCUUGGGCAAAUCUUUCAAAUCACAUAAGGGGGCAUCAACUCAGCCAAUAAACAUUCUAUGAUGUGUGCAUUCUGCCUUUCCAGAAACACUGGGUACAGCAGCUAAACAUAGAUCCAGAAGAUAAGCUACUGGUGGUUGGUGUGAUGACUGUGACUAUUCUUCUGAGAGUGACACUGGUCUGUAUGAGUGGGAAUCUAAGGCAGGUGCCAGAGAAUUGAGGUUGGUGAGGAGGCUGAGGGAAUGACAGUGAGAACUGGAUGGGGCUACAAGAGGCUAAGGAGCAAUGGGGAAAUAUGUGGGAUUGUAUGUGGGGGGCAAAAGCAGCUGCAGCUGAAUAGGCCAAGUUAAAUAAGGAGAAGGAGCUGGUGAAGCAGAUUCCCAUGGACAGUGACCUGAAAUUGGAUGGUUUUGCUGGGAGAGACUCUAUAUCACAGCUCCUCAAGGGGAAAGAAAAGAGGCCUUAUUCUGAGGAUCUGUUGGGAUGAGUGUUGAACAAGAGUGGGGGUGGGGGGAGGACAGUAGAUAAGAAAUAUUAUUUACUAUUCCCGGAUGUUUACAAUUUUAAGAUCCACCCCUCUGGCGUGGGGAGGGAUAACUUGCAGUUUGAGGAAAAAAAAUAAAAGGAUGGCCA